rnacentral:rRNA from 1 species
CACGUAGUUAGCCGUGACUUUCUGGUUGGAUACCGUCACUGCGUGAACAGUUACUCUCACGCACGUUCUUCUCCAACAACAGAGCUUUACGAGCCGAAACCCUUCUUCACUCACGCGGUGUUGCUCCAUCAGGCCUGCGCCCAUUGUGGAAGAUUCCCUACUGCUGCCUCCCGUAGGAGUAUGGACCGUGUCUCAGUUCCAUUGUGGCCGAUCAGUCUCUCAACUCGGCUAUGCAUCAUCGCCUUGGUAAGCCGUUACCUUACCAACUAGCUAAUGCACCGCAGGUCCAUCCCAGAGUGAUAGCCAAAGCCAUCUUUACAAACAAAGCCAUGUGGCUUUUGUUGUUAUGCGGUAUUAGCAUCUGUUUCCAAAUUGUUACUCCCCCGCUCCCAGGGCUAGGUUACCUACGUUGUUACUCACCCGUCCGCCACUCACUGGUGAUCCAACGUCAAUCAGGUGCAAGCACCAUCAAUUAGUGGCAGGUGCGUACG